rnacentral:tRNA from 1 species
UCCCUGGUGGCUCAGAGGUUAAAGCGUCUGCCUCCAAUGCAGGAGACCUGGGUUCAAUCCCUGGGUUUGGAA